ensembl:snRNA U6 U6 spliceosomal RNA
GUGCUCACUUUGGGCAACACACGGACAAAAUUAGAACGACACAGAGAAGAUUAGCAUGGUCCCUGUGCAAGGAUGCCCCUCAAAUUCAUGUAGCAUUCCACAUAGGG